GGCGAACGCUGGCGGCGCGCCUAACACAUGCAAGUCGAACGGAGCUGAGAGGGGCUUGCUUUUCUUAGCUUAGUGGCGAACGGGUGAGUAACGCGUGAGUAACCUGCCCUGGAGUGGGGGACAACAGUUGGAAACGACUGCUAAUACCGCAUAAGCCCACGGCCCGGCAUCGGGCUGAGGGAAAAGGAUUUAUUCGCUUCAGGAUGGACUCGCGUCCAAUUAGCUAGUUGGUGAGGUAACGGCCCACCAAGGCGACGAUUGGUAGCCGGACUGAGAGGUUGAACGGCCACAUUGGGACUGAGACACGGCCCAG
rnacentral:rRNA from 1 species